UCAGUCGACUCCUACGGGGAGGCAGCAGUAGGGAAUCUUCCACAAUGGGCGCAAGCCUGAUGGAGCAACACCGCGUGAGUGAAGAAGGGUUUCGGCUCGUAAAGCUCUGUUGUUAAAGAAGAACACGUAUGAGAGUAACUGUUCAUACGUUGACGGUAUUUAACCAGAAAGUCACGGCUAACUACGUGCCAGCAGCCGCGGUAAUACGUAGGUGGCAAGCGUUAUCCGGAUUUAUUGGGCGUAAAGAGAGUGCAGGCGGUUUUCUAAGUCUGAUGUGAAAGCCUUCGGCUUAACCGGAGAAGUGCAUCGGAAACUGGAUAACUUGAGUGCAGAAGAGGGUAGUGGAACUCCAUGUGUAGCGGUGGAAUGCGUAGAUAUAUGGAAGAACACCAGUGGCGAAGGCGGCUACCUGGUCUGCAACUGACGCUGAGACUCGAAAGCAUGGGUAGCGAACAGGAUUAGAUACCCUGGUAG
rnacentral:rRNA from 1 species